CGCGUGGUGAUUUGCAUUAUUGGCGCUGCUGUUGUUAUUGUUAUUGUUCUGCUGCUGCCGUUGACUAUUUUUUUUAUUCUUCAUCCGUCGAUUUUGAAACCAUAUCUUCACCUGUCGCUCAUUCGAGCGUCUGGAAUUUGGAAUACGGUUUGCGUUUCUUCCGUACCGUCACUUGGCCGGUCCAUUCCAAUGGGUUCGAGCUCCCGCAACCGACGCCCAUACCAGCUACCCCGACACCUACGCCAACUCCCGCCAGGGAACCUGCGGGAAACAACGAAGAUGGGGAGGAACCCCACAUCACUUAACACAAUUAGUUUGCCGAUUACGUGUGUGUAUAUGCGCGCGCGUGACGCAUGUAGCGAAGGGUUCGUCACGUUGCGUCGCGACGACCAGCCGAUAUGAUAUAAUUGGACCGAGUGUACUAACCGUAGAGAAAACAUGAACCGAGAAUGCGAAACACGGAACUGUUAGUACAUUCCGUGUUUGUAACUAAUGAUUCGAGAAUCCCAUGAUCCCUGGCUCGGUUUUUUGCUCUAGAAUUUUUCUCUUCUAUGAUUUCAAGAGAUUAGCUUAACGAAUUAUAAAUUUUUAAUAAUUUGUUGAAUAAAAAAAAAGACGAGAAAACUCU